rnacentral:misc_RNA from 1 species
GACCGGCAAUCAAAGCCCACCUGCAUUUUAUUUAUUAUUAUUGAAACAGAGGGAUUAAUUAUUGAUCUCUCACGUCAAAACAAUGGAGGAAAUCAAUUUAUGUCAUGCUUUUGAUAGCAGGAAAGCGGGUGUUGGCUUGAAAAGUAAAGGAGGAGAUGAAGUAAAUUUAUGGAUAGUUAAGUUGAAUUUUGUUUAAAUAAUCAAUUCCCAUUACCUGUCUCCAACAAGCUUGUACAUUCUAUAAAUGAGAUCUUCUUCUUGUUCGGACAUGUUUAUGAACUCCCAUUCAAUACUGCUCACCUCUUCAGAGCAACUCCUGGGUUGCUUCCUGCGGCGUCUAUCCAUUGCUGCUGCUGCGUUGGAUAUAUUGAGGAAGGAUUUGUGAGCUAAAACUGAAAGACGAAAAUUAUUAAUCGUUUCUCAAAAAGGGAAUUGGGGCUCUGUUUUUUUCCAAAAGUUUUUAAUUAAUGAAAUUCAUUUUCAUGGGGGUAGGCAAAGCCAGCAAUUAACUUAGGCAUUGCUUUUGGCAUUGGGAAGAGACAGAGAGGUUGGAAUCCCUUGGAAACCAAAGCGGCGAACGACA